ensembl:misc_RNA Metazoa_SRP Metazoan signal recognition particle RNA
GCUGGGCGUGGUGGUGCACGCCUGUAGUCCCAGCUACUCGGGAGGCUGAGGCAGAAGAAUCGCUUGAACCCGGGAGGCAGAGGUUGCAGUGAGCUGAGAUCCCGCCACUGCGCUCCAGCCUGGGUGACAGAGCAAGACUCCGUCUCCA